rnacentral:rRNA from 1 species
AGUGAACGCUGGCGGUAGGCCUAACACAUGCAAGUCGGACGGCAGCACAGUAAGAGCUUGCUCUUACGGGUGGCGAGUGGCGGACGGGUGAGGAAUACAUCGGAAUCUACUUUUUCGUGGGGGAUAACGUAGGGAAACUUACGCUAAUACCGCAUACGACCUACGGGUGAAAGCAGGGGAUCUUCGGACCUUGCGCGAUUGAAUGAGCCGAUGUCGGAUUAGCUAGUUGGCGGGGUAAAGGCCCACCAAGGCGACGAUCCGUAGCUGGUCUGAGAGGAUGAUCAGCCACACUGGAACUGAGACACGGUCCAGACUCCUACGGGAGGCAGCAGUGGGGAAUAUUGGACAAUGGGCGCAAGCCUGAUCCAGCCAUACCGCGUGGGUGAAGAAGGCCUUCGGGUUGUAAAGCCCUUUUGUUGGGAAAGAAAAGCAGCAGGUUAAUACCCCGCUGUUCUGACGGUACCCAAAGAAUAAGCACCGGCUAACUUCAUG